rnacentral:rRNA from 3 species
AAAAUUUAAAAUAAAAAUACUAAAAUAGUAGAUAAAUAUUUAUUGAAACUUAAAUGAUUUGGCGGUAUCUUAGUUCAUUUAGAGGAAUCUGUUUAAUAAUUGAUAUUCCACGAAUGAAUUUACUUAAUUUAUAAUUUUGUAUAUCGUUGUUAUAAAAAUAUUUUUUAAUGAGAUUAAUAUUUAAAAAUUAGUAUUAAAAUUUAAAUCAGAUCAAGAUGCAGAUUAUAAUUAAGAAUAUAAUGGAUUACAAUAAAUUUAUUUAAAUGAAUUUUAAUUUGUAAAAAUUAAUUGAAGGUGGAUUUAAAUGUAAUUUUAUUUAAUUUAGUAAAAUGAUUAAAAAUUAAGAUAUGU